rnacentral:misc_RNA from 1 species
CCGGGACGCCGAGGGGGCCGCCGGCGCCGAAGGGGACGACGGGGAGGUCGAUGUCGAAGGGCAUCCGCUUGUGCGGCGACGGCGGCCACGGGAACUGCGGCGGCACCUGGAGCAGGCCCGUGAAACCCUGCGCGAGGCGGUCCGCGAGGUCCUGACCAUGCCGCUGCACGCCCUCCCACGCCUCGAAGGAGAUCUCCAUACGCGUCGGCGUCGCGUCACCACGGCGUCGCUAGGGUUCCGGCAAGCAAAUCGGGAAUUCGAAGCAAAAGCAACAGCCGACGGGAGAAGGGGCGAGGAUUCGACGAUGGGAAAG